GAUGAACGCUGGCGGCGUGCCUAACACAUGCAAGUCGAGCGAUCUUCUUCGGAAGAGAGCGGCGGACGGGUGAGUAACGCGUGGGUAACCUGCCCUGUACACACGGAUAACAUACCGAAAGGUAUGCUAAUACGGGAUAACAUACUUUUAUCGCAUGGUAGAAGUAUCAAAGCUCCGGCGGUACAGGAUGGACCCGCGUCUGAUUAGCUAGUUGGUAAGGUAACGGCUUACCAAGGCGACGAUCAGUAGCCGACCUGAGAGGGUGAUCGGCCACAUUGGAACUGAGACACGGUCCAAACUCCUACGGGAGGCAGCAGUGGGGAAUAUUGCACAAUGGGCGAAAGCCUGAUGCAGCAACGCCGCGUGAGCGAUGAAGGCCUUCGGGUCGUAAAGCUCUGUCCUCAAGGAAGAUAAUGACGGUACUUGAGGAGGAAGCCCCGGCUAACUACGUGCCAGCCGCCGCCGUAAGAC
rnacentral:rRNA from 1 species